GACGAACGCUGGCGGCGUGCUUAACACAUGCAAGUCGAACGGAAAGGCCCAGCUUGCUGGGUGCUCGAGUGGCGAACGGGUGAGUAACACGUGGGUGAUCUGCCCCUAACUUCGGGAUAAGCUUGGGAAACUGGGUCUAAUACCGGAUAGGACAAUCGUUUAGUGUCGGUUGUGGAAAGUUUUUUCGGUUAGGGAUGAGCCCGCGGCCUAUCAGCUUGUUGGUGGGGUAAUGGCCUACCAAGGCGUCGACGGGUAGCCGGCCUGAGAGGGUGGACGGCCACAUUGGGACUGAGAUACGGCCCAGACUUCUACGGGAGGCAGCAGUGGGGAAUAUUGCACAAUGGGCGCAAGCCUGAUGCAGCGACGCCGCGUGGGGGAUGACGGCCUUCGGGUUGUAAACCUCUUUCGACAGGGACGAAGCUUUGGUGACGGUACCUGUAUAAGAAGCACCGGCUAACGACGUGCCAGCAGCCGCCGUAA
rnacentral:rRNA from 1 species